GAGCCUACGGGAGGCAGCAGUGAGGAAUAUUGGUCAAUGGGCGGAAGCCUGAACCAGCCAAGUCGCGUGAGGGAUUAAGGCCCUGCGGGUCGUAAACCUCUUUUGCCGGGGAGCAGUGGUCCGGACGCGUCCGGACCGGGAGAGUACCCGGAGAAAAAGCAUCGGCUAACUCCGUGCCAGCAGCCGCGGUAAUACGUAUGGGGCAAGCGUUAUCCGGAUUUACUGGGUGUAAAGGGAGCGUAGGCGGCCUGGCAAGCCUGAUGUGAAAUACCGGGGCCCAACCCCGGGGCUGCAUUGGGAACUGC
rnacentral:rRNA from 1 species